GGCGGCGUGCUUACACAUGCAAGNNNNAACGAUGAAGCAACUGCUUGCAGUUGUGGAUUAGUGGCGCACGGGUGAGUAAUGGAUAGGUAACCUGCCUCAUAGUCUGGGACAACAGUUGGAAACGACUGCUAAUACUGGAUAUUCCCUACGGGGGAAAGAUUUAUCGCUAUGANAUGGGCCUAUCUCCUAUCAGCUAGUUGGUAAGGUAACGGCUUACCAAGGCAAUGACGGGUAGCUGGUCUUAGAGGACGAUCAGCCACACUGGAACUGAGACACGGUCCAGACUCCUACGGGAGGCAGCAGUGGGGAAUAUUGCACAAUGGGGGAAACCCUGAUGCAGCAACGCCGCGUGGAGGAUGACGCAUUUCGGUGUGUAAACUCCUUUUAUUUAGGAAGAAAUUUGACGGUACUAAAUGAAUAAGCACCGGCUAACUCCGUGCCAGCAGCCGCGGUAAUACGGAGGGUGCAAGCGUUACUCGGAAUUACUGGGCGUAAAGGACGCGUAGGCGGNUUANAAGUCAGAUGUGAAAGCCUAUGGCUUAACCAUAGAACUGCAUCUGNAACUCCUA
rnacentral:rRNA from 1 species